AUUGAACGCUGGCGGCAGGCCUAACACAUGCAAGUCGAACGGGUGGCGGACGUGUGAGUAAUGACUCGGCAACUGCCCGGGGGAGGGGGAUAACUACUGGACACGGUAGCUGAUACCGCACACCAUCGGAUGUGCCCAGGUUGGAGUAGCUAGUGGGAGGGGUAAAGGCUGACCUCGGCGACGAUCCGUAGCUGGUCUGAGAGGAUGAACAGUCACACUGGAACUGAGACACGGUCCAGACUCCUACGGGAGGCAGCAGUGGGGAAUAUUGGACAAUGGGCGAAAGCCUGAUGCAGCCAUGCCGCGUGUAUGAAGAAGGCCUGCGGAUUGUAAAGUACUUUAAGCGGGGAGGCGUUACCCGCAGAAGAAGCACCGGCUAACUCCGUGCCAGCAGCCGCGGUAAUAC
rnacentral:rRNA from 1 species